rnacentral:rRNA from 1 species
UGGGGAAUAUUGGACAAUGGGCGCAAGCCUGAUCCAGCCAUGCCGCGUGAGUGACGAAGGCCUUAGGGUUGUAAAGCUCUUUUGGCGGGGACGAUAAUGACGGUACCCGCAGAAUAAGCCCCGGCUAACUUCGUGCCAGCAGCCGCGGUAAUACGAAGGGGGCUAGCGUUGUUCGGAAUCACUGGGCGUAAAGCGCACGUAGGCGGAUUUGUAAGUCAGGGGUGAAAUCCCGGGGCUCAACCUCGGAACUGCCUUUGAUACUGCAAGUCUCGAGUUCGGGAGAGGUGAGUGGAAUUCCUAGUGUAGAGGUGAAAUUCGUAGAUAUUAGGAAGAACACCAGUGGCGAAGGCGGCUCACUGGCCCAAUACUGACGCUGAGGUGCGAAAGCGUGGGGAGCAAACAGGAUUAGAUACCCACGUAGUCCCUGAGCGGGCUGGCAAGGCGCAU